rnacentral:lncRNA from 10 species
GGCCCGGCCGGCGGCGGGGAGGUCGCGGGGCCGGGAGGCGCGAGGUUGUUCGAGAAGCUGAAAUAGAAAUCAAUUUCUUGAUUUCAGUAGGAAUAGUGAGUCCCUAAGAGGGGAGAAGCCAGGUGCUGAGCCAGGUGUUCUACAUAAAUUAUCUCAUUUGUUUUUUCUGACAACAUAAUAAGAAAAAGAAAAACAUCCAUUCAUGAGAGUUCAGGGAUACGUGAAAAUGAAGCAAAUGAGGAAAGACCCAUUCACAUUCCUCCAAAAGGAACUUGCUUUAUGGCCAUUUGUUCUAAUGAUCAGUUUGGACAACCAACCUUUAUUCCUCCACCUCAGACAAUAUUCAACAUCCUGUAAUCAUCAUAGCGCUUAAUUAUCCUCUGUGAUCCACACUAAAGUAUUUUGAAGAAUAACAAAGCUCUCCAAGGGUCUUAAUACAGUUCUGGAGGUCAGUAAGUCCAAUAUCAAGGUGCCAGCAUCAGGCAUUAUGGCCAGCACACUUCCUGCGAAUUUGUACCACCACCCCUUAUCUCAUCUAUGCUUCUGCUCACAGCACUGCACUGGAGCCAGGGGAUGGAUACCUGGCACUUGUAUGUCCUAUGAAGAAAGAGAGGAGGAUACAUUGCUUCCCUAUGUAUCCUUAAGGGAUAGACCAGAGGAAAAGUUAAGUAAUAGAUAAACAAUCAAUAAUACCUAAUUGGUUUCCCAAUCAAUUAGCACUUACUGUGUUGGAUUUGUUCACUUUCAGCCAUAGUUACACCUUGAAUUUCUGUAUUUCCAAAGUGGGCUCUUUUUUUUCUAAGGAAUUUCCUCAAUUUUUUCGUGUAAGUAGGCUUCUGAGGAGUCUAUUUCACUGAUUUUUGUGAUAUAUUUAAUCAUUCCAGGGCUACAAAAUUUAAGCUGAAUUUAAAUUAUUCAUAAUAUAACAAUCUCUCUUCCUCUGUCUCUCUUUCUUUCUAUAUCUUUCAUUACAUAUAUGUAAUAAAAUAUUUUCAUUAUAUAUCUGUAUAUCUUUUAUAGAAAUCUUUUCAUUAUAUAUUUCAUAUAUAUUCAUGUAUCUUUCAUACAUU